rnacentral:rRNA from 1 species
UAGGGAAUCUUCGGCAAUGGACGAAAGUCUGACCGAGCAACGCCGCGUGAGUGAAGAAGGUUUUCGGAUCGUAAAACUCUGUUGUUAGAGAAGAACAAGGACGUUAGUAACUGAACGUCCCCUGACGGUAUCUAACCAGAAAGCCACGGCUAACUACGUGCCAGCAGCCGCGGUAAUACGUAGGUGGCAAGCGUUGUCCGGAUUUAUUGGGCGUAUAGCGAGCGCAGGCGGUUUCUUAAGUCUGAUGUGAAAGCCCCCGGCUCAACCGGGGAGGGUCAUUGGAAACUGGGAGACUUGAGUGCAGAAGAGGAGAGUGGAAUUCCAUGUGUAGCGGUGAAAUGCGUAGAUAUAUGGAGGAACACCAGUGGCGAAGGCGGCUCUCUGGUCUGUAACUGACGCUGAGGCUCGAAAGCGUGCGGAGCAAACAGG